GCUUGGAUGGCUCAGUUGGUUAGAGCGCAGGUCUCAUACGUCCAGUAUGACCACUCCAGUAGUGGGUAAUCCUGAGGUCGUGAGUUCGAUCCUCACUCCGAGCA